CCCUUAGAUGUUCUGGGCCGCACGCGCGCUACACUGACGGAUUCAACGAGCUUACAACCUUGGCCGAAAGGUCUGGGUAAUCUCCAAAAUCCGUCGCGAUGGGGAUAGAUUAUUGCAAUUAUUAAUCUUCAACGAGGAAUGCCUAGUAAGCGCAAGUCAUCAGCUUGCGUUGAUUACGUCCCUGCCCUUUGUACACACCGCCCGUCGCUCCUACCGAUUGAAUGGUCCGGUGAAGCGUUUGGACUAUGGUUUUCUGAUGGUCCGCCGUUGGAUUACCGUGGGAAGUUCGUUAAACCUUAUCAUUUAGAGGAAGGAGAAGUCGUAACA
rnacentral:rRNA from 1 species